CUAUAAAAGAUGUAACAGAUGCAAACUGUAAAACAAGGGCAAUUAACCCUUGCUCUCCUGCGCAGGAUCCCCCCUCGCCUGCGCAUCCAUUGUCUGCUUCUGCGCUGGGAGUUUUACGCAAAACCUAAAA
rfam:Opisthocomus hoazin contig47909, whole genome shotgun sequence.